rnacentral:snRNA from 1 species
GAGCUUGCUUCGGCAGCACACCUACUAAAAUUGGAACGAUACGGAAAAGAUUAGCAUGGCCUCUGCCCAAGUUUGACACUCAAGUUUGUGAAGCUUUCUAUAUUUUU